rnacentral:rRNA from 1 species
UACGUAGGGGGCAAGCGUUGUCCGGAAUCAUUGGGCGUAAAGAGCGUGUAGGCGGCCAAGCAGGUCCGCUGUGAAAACUCGAGGCUCAACCUCGAGACGUCGGUGGAAACCGUUUGGCUAGAGUCCGGAAGAGGAGAGUGGAAUUCCCGGUGUAGCGGUGAAAUGCGCAGAUAUCGGGAAGAACACCCGUGGCGAAGGCGGCUCUCUGGGACGGUACUGACGCUGAGACGCGAAAGCGUGGGGAGCGAACAGG